AGACCCGAAACCCGGUGAUCUAGCCAUGGGCAGGUUGAAGGUUGGGUAACACUAACUGGAGGACCGAACCGACUAAUGUUGAAAAAUUAGCGGAUGACCUGUGGCUGGGGGUGAAAGGCCAAUCAAACCGGGAGAUAGCUGGUUCUCCCCGAAAGCUAUUUAGGUAGCGCCUCGUGAAUUCAUCUCCGGGGGUAGAGCACUGUUUCGGCUAGGGGGCCAUCCCGGCUUACCAACCCGAUGCAAACUGCGAAUACCGGAGAAUGUUAUCACGGGAGACACACGGCGGGUGCUAACGUCCGUCGUGAAGAGGGAAACAACCCAGACCGCCAGCUAAGGUCCCAAAGUCAUGGUUAAGUGGGAAACGAUGUGGGAAGGCCCAGACAGCCAGGAUGUUGGCUUAGAAGCAGCCAUCAUUUAAAGAAAGCGUAAUAGCUCACUGGUCGAGUCGGCCUGCGCGGAAGAUGUAACGGGGCUAAACCAUGCACCGAAGCUGCGGCAGCGAACGUAUCACCCAAGACAACUUUACGGAGUUGACGAUUGACGGAGCGAAGCGACGUCAAAGCGUUCAUUAAAGUCGAGUUGGCUUAGGGAUACGUUCGUUGGGUAGGGGAGCGUUCUGUAAGCCUGUGAAGGUGUGUCGUGAGGCAUGCUGGAGGUAUCAGAAGUGCGAAUGCUGACAUAAGUAACGAUAAAGCGGGUGAAAAGCCCGCUCGCCGGAAGACCAAGGGUUCCUGUCCAACGUUAAUCGGGGCAGGGUGAGUCGACCCCUAAGGCGAGGCCGAAAGGCGUAGUCGAUGGGAAACGGGUUAAUAUUCCCGUACUUGGUGUUACUGCGAAGGGGGGACGGAGAAGGCUAUGUUGGCCGGGCGACGGUUGUCCCGGUUUAAGCGUGUAGGUGUGUGUUCCAGGUAAAUCCGGUUCACUUUAACACUGAGGCGUGACGACGAGGCACUACGGUGCUGAAGCAACAAAUGCCCUGCUUCCAGGAAAAGCCUCUAAGCAUCAGGUAACAUCAAAUCGUACCCCAAACCGACACAGGUGGUCAGGUAGAGAAUACCAAGGCGCUUGAGAGAACUCGGGUGAAGGAACUAGGCAAAAUGGUGCCGUAACUUCGGGAGAAGGCACGCUGACACGUAGGUGAAGUGAUUUACUCAUGGAGCUGAAGUCAGUCGAAGAUACCAGCUGGCUGCAACUGUUUAUUAAAAACACAGCACUGUGCAAACACGAAAGUGGACGUAUACGGUGUGACGCCUGCCCGGUGCCGGAAGGUUAAUUGAUGGGGUCAGCGCAAGCGAAGCUCCUGAUCGAAGCCCCGGUAAACGGCGGCCGUAACUAUAACGGUCCUAAGGUAGCGAAAUUCCUUGUCGGGUAAGUUCCGACCUGCACGAAUGG
rnacentral:rRNA from 1 species